AGCCAGGAUGGUCUCGAUCUCCUGACCUCGUGAUCCACCCGCCUCGGCCUCCCAAAAAACUGUGAACUUCAGUUGUUUUAUGUUUUAUAUUUUAACUGCAGUCUCCAUUGAAGAUGUUUUCAGAUGGCAUUAUCAAAACCGUUCUUUGAGGCAAAUAAUUAUUCUGACUGUGGGGGUCUGAAUGAAAAAAGCCUUUUCAGUAGAAGUCUCUUGAAAAAGUCCCAACUAUAAGGCGUGGACACGAGUAGGAAGGGAGAGAAGACAGAGGCACAGGGGAGUGCAGAGCAGAGUAGUGUGAAAUGCGGAGAGAAGGAAGUAGAGGAUGAAAGAGGGGAAGACAGAGGGGAGAAGAAGGAAAAGAGGAACAUAGGUGAGUAAAAUCAGAACCAUGAGUUUUUCCAGAAUAACAACAACAACAACAAAAAGACGUCACCAAAUGGAUGUGGAAAUGAGAGAAAAAGAACACAGCACACAAGAAAAGGUGUCUGUCUUUCCUGUGUAAUGGACAGGUUUUGAAUCGUGGGCCCAGAAGGAUUGUCUGAAUUAUAAGGAAUGUCCAUUUGUGCUUUAGCAACUUGAAGCUUCAGUGAAAAGAAUCAGAACACAGAGAAAACUUGCUGCUAGGACAAAAAUGAAGGAAAGAAUCAUCCCAGGAUGGUGAUACUCGGGUUACAGGCUCACAGGCAGAAGGGACUUGGCCUUUCUCAGAUGAGACUUUGGACUGUGGACUUCAGAGGUAAUGCUGAAAUGAGUUGACUUUGGGGGGACUGUUGGGAUGGCAUGAUUGGUUAUGAAAUGUGAUGACAUGAGAUUUUGGGAGGAGCCAGCUACCGCUCAUAAGGUUUCACUCUCUGUCCCCACUCAAAUCUCAUCUUGAAUUGUACUCCCAUAAUUCCCAUGUGCUAUGUGAGGGACGCAGUGAGAGAUAAUUGAAUCAUGGGGGCAGUUUCCCUCAUACUGUUCUUGUGGUAGUGAAUAAGUUUCAUGAGAUCUGAUGGUUUUAUCAGGGGAAACCCCUUUCAUUGGCUCUCAUUCUUUUUGUUACCACCACCAUGUAAGAAGUGCCUUUCACCUUCCACCUUGAUUGUGAGGUCUCCC
rnacentral:lncRNA from 10 species